AUUGCUUCUUGGCCUUUUGGCCAAAAUCAAGGAUACUAUGAGUUCUUAUCAGUUUAACAUUGGAGAUAACGCCAACCUCACUGAUGGUACAAUAAAACACUUGCUUGUGUGAGUCGAGUUGCUUGCAUUAAAGUCCAAGCUUUUUUGCACCCCAGGAUUUGCACCACUGGGGUGCCGAAAUUCACAG